AUUGAACGCUGGCGGCCGGCCUAACACAUGCAAGUCGAACGAGUGGCGGACGGGUGAGUAAUGUCUGGGAAACUGCCUGAGGGAGGGGGAUAACUACUGGAAACGGUAGCUAAUACCGCAUACCAUCGGAUGUGCCCAGAUGGGAUUAGCUAGUAGGUGGGGUAAAGGCUCACCUAGGCGACGAUCCCUAGCUGGUCUGAGAGGAUGGCCAGCCACACUGGAACUGAGACGCGGUCCAGACUCCUACGGGAGUCGGCAGUGGGGAAUGUUGCACAGUGGGCGCAAGCCUAAUGCAGCCAUGCCGCGUGUAUGAAGAAGGCCUUCGGGUUGUAAAGUACUUUCAGCGGGGAGGCGUUACCCGCAGAAGAAGCACCGGCUAACUCCGUGCCAGCAGCCGCGGUAAUUC
rnacentral:rRNA from 1 species